GCACAAACGGGCCUUCCUCCCUUCGCGCCCCCAUAGAUCUACCCUGCCCUAGCCACACCCUCCUGCUUUGUCUUGUCACUUCUCUACGAUCUGUGUCUUCUGUUAAGAUGCUAUGGAAGCCCCCACAUUGGAACCACCACUUUGGAUGCAGUUAAGGUCCCGAAUCGAUGACCCUAAGAAGGAGAUUGUCCUUGGUGGGCCUGAUCUCAUCAGGCAAGCCCUUGAAAGGGACAGGACUCUUCUUGGAGAAUGAGAUUUGCAGGGUGAGGGGGAUUCAGUGAGUGGAAGGUUCUCCGCUGCUGGCUUUGAGGGUGGAAGGGACCCUGUGCCGGGGAACGAGUGACCUCGAGGAGCUGAGUGGCCCUGGCUGACAGCCAGCAAGGAAAUGGUGACCUGCAUCCUGCACCCACCAGGAACCGGAUUCUGCUACAACCACGAGAGCUUGGAAGAGGACCCUGAGCGGCAGCCACCCAGAUGCCCUGGACCCAGGAGGAGCGCUCUGCAUCUUGGCCCUGCAUCUCAUCUGGCUGGUGCCCAAGCUUGGAUGAUGGAUUAUGUGGUCACCCUAUUCUGAAGUCACCUCCCCGACAGCCUCCCGGUCAGGGUGUCUGGUCAAAACGGCCCAAGCAGCAGGUGAAUCUCAGACAUUUGGAACUUUUGACUGUUGUCACAUUCAAGUGUCAAAAAAUAUAUAAAAUGGUGCAUUGCUUUGAUUGCCCUUACAACUUCAGACUCCGCGGUCAGGAACGGGCUGUGGCUUGAGCUGCUGAGCCAAACAGAGACAUUCAGCAGAGAUGUCUAUGCAGACUUGCCUCCUGACUCUGCCAUGAGCAUGCGGAAAGAGCGGUGCUCUCUGGGACUGCAGGUGCCGGCGGUGUGGACCCACACACAGGGACCCUGGCUGCAGCGGUGCUGCCGUUUUCACUCAGCGAGGUGGGGUUUCUCCUGCCUCGACUGAUCGUCAGAACUCAUGCUCAUCUGAUGGUUGAUGUGCUUUUGUGUUUUUGUUACCAGGAAUGAGGAAUGGCCUUGAUGGACCCCUAGUUCCCUUAUUAAAUGUUACUGCUGUGAAUGGCUAAGGAGGAAAGAGACCCCCGUAACAGUGGUUGCUGACCCGGAGAGGAAGUGGGUGCCUGGCCCCAGGGGGCAGAGGGACGCUUACUUUUAUUCUUUGUUCCAUUUGAACUUUGUACUGUGUACAAGUAUUGCCUAUCAAAAAUAAAUUAAUAAUAG
rnacentral:lncRNA from 1 species